UUGGACCUCCAUAUUUCUUGUACUUCCGACAGCUCCUUAGAGAUAAGACUCAUGAAGGGAGCAUAUUUAGAUACUACCUCCAUGAUUGGAGUAUUUUUAGCAUCAUUUUGGGCCUUGGAUGGAGAUUAUUUAGCAUAUUCUUCUACGCUUGGAUCCAUGAUGUGAUAGAGGGUCCGCCAGCAGGAGUUAGGAUUUGGGUUUUUAUAGCUUCUGAGGCUGUGGUAGAAGCCACUGGCGCUCUGCCUGGAUCCAAGGGCCAUACACCAGCUUGAGAUUUGAUCCUUAAGCCGCCGCAUAACCACAGAUUUUCAUGAUCUGGUUGAUCUUCCCACAUGCACAACAAAUCUCAAGCAACUCUUCAUAUGUGAAUUGCUGCCACACAAACUGGUCUCUCAUCUUCACUUGAGCCCCUAGGCACACAUUCUUGGUCAAAUCAAUGAGUACAUAGACUCAGGCAAAGCCCUCAUGGAGGAUUGUAUCCAAUCAUCCAAAUAUAGUGAUGUUUCGGCAUAGAUGCUAAUUUCAGGAUCAUUUCUUUAUCCCAUAGUUUAAGAGGCAAGUCUGGUAAUCUAAGCCAGAUUUGAGCUUAUUGAACAAUAUCCCAACCUAGUUGGAAUUGGGGCCUCCAACCUUCCAAAGUCGGCAACUGGCCGGCCGAGGGCCAAGGUUCUCUUUGUAGUAUCUUUUUCUCAUCCUCCUUCGAUGGAUAUUGGAAGAUCAGUAAGCCCUUAGAUAGGGAUGAAACCUAGAGAUCCCUCUGGAUAUUUCAUCUGAGUUUCAUCUCUUUCUAUACAAAUUCAAGGGGAAACCACAUUCGAGGAACUUAACAACAAGAGCAUUCUUCCAUUGGGCUGACGAGCACUCAAACUCCUUUUCUGAGAAUGCCACAACCCAAAGGAAUAACUACUCCAAGGCCGAGAUUUCUUUCUCCGUAGCUCUCGAAGUUUUCUACUUAAACUGAUGGGUGCUUUGAACCACCUGGGACCACAAGCAGCCCCCUCCGAUGGUGCUCCAUCCCUUGAGUGCUAGGUCUUUGAGGAGGUGAAUCAUCUGCACCCUUUCAGUUCACUUUUGGCCCAGUAGUAGGCUCGAGACGAAGCACUCUCCGAUCCCUGCUUGCUCGAUAAUGAACCUCCUCCCAUAAGAUGAGAGGUGUCUUGCAAAGGUAACUUGAUCACCCUUUUUCGGCCAGUUCUGACCUUUCAUAUUUCGGUGGGAUAAUAUAGAAACUUAUCACCCCAGAAAAGGUAAAGAUUUUUAACCGGCUUUGUUAAAAUAAUAAAAUUCUUACUGCUGUAAAUCCCUUAAAAAGGGGCUUGGUAGUUCAUGUGAAUUAUUCCAUUUAUGGAGAGUGGGAAGAGAUGAUGGAUUACUUAAUGCUAGAUUGCUCAUAUGCUUAAGUUUGCUAGGAAUAGCUCCUUCGAGGAAUACAGUCGCAACCCAUCCCAAAUAGCAUAACUGACUUUUGGUAGAAAUGGUGGAAGAUGCUAAAAACUGAUGCCUCUUUGGUAGUUGGCUUCUGGUGUACUUGGAGGAAAAAGAAUGGAAGGAUCUAUAGAUAUGAUGCCUAUUUAUAUUUAGAGGUCGUGAGACAAGCAAUCCACCCAUUUAGGAGGUGGACAUUUGACCAAUAAGGAGGCUCUUUUACCAAAGUCUCUACCUUAUUCAAAAAUAGAUAGGUGA
rnacentral:lncRNA from 1 species